rnacentral:rRNA from 1 species
GAUGAACGCUGGCGGCGUGCCUAAUACAUGCAAGUCGAGCGAAUGGAUUAAGAGCUUGCUCUUAUGAAGUUAGCGGCGGACGGGUGAGUAACACGUGGGUAACCUGCCCAUACGACUGGGAUAACUCCGGGAAACCGGGGCUAAUACCGGAUAACAUUUUGAACCGCAUGGUUCGAAAUUGAAAGGCGGCUUCGGCUGUCACUUAUGGAUGGACCCGCGUCGCAUUAGCCAGUUGGUGAGGUAACGGCUCACCAAGGCAACGAUGCGUAGCCGACCGGAGAGGGUGAUCGGCCACACUGGGACUGAGACACGGCCCAGACUCCGACGGGAGGAAGCAGUAGGGAAUCUUCCGCAAUGGACGAAAGUCUGACGGAGCAACGCCGCGUGAGUGAUGAAGGCUUUCGGGUCGUAAAACUCUGUUGUUAGGGAAGAACAAGUGCUAGUUGAAUAAGCUGGCACCUUGACGGUACCUAACCAGAAAGCCACGGCUAACUACGUGCCAGCAGCCGCGGUAA